UACGAAGGGGGCUAGCGUUGCUCGGAAUCACUGGGCGUAAAGCGCACGUAGGCGGGUCGUUAAGUCGGGGGUGAAAUCCUGGAGCUCAACUCCAGAACUGCCUUCGAUACUGGCGAUCUUGAGUCUGGGAGAGGUGAGUGGAACUCCGAGUGUAGAGGUGAAAUUCGUAGAUAUUCGGAAGAACACCAGUGGCGAAGGCGGCUCACUGGCCCGGUACUGACGCUGAGGAGCGAAAGCGUGGGGAGCGAACAGG
rnacentral:rRNA from 1 species